AUAGGCCGGAUAUGGAAGCCAGGUAACUGGUGGAGUUGACCGGUACUAAUAGGCCGAGGGCUUGUCCUCAGUUG
rnacentral:rRNA from 1 species